rnacentral:RNase_P_RNA from 1 species
GGAGAUGGACCCUGUUGCUGAAGCCGUUUGCGAGAUCUCUAAAGGCAUUUGAUUGCUUUCCUCUCGCGGGAAGGUCUGAGUCAUUGCGUUGCUCUCUCGUGAGGGGAGUGGCUUCGAUAAAGUCAGGGGGUAACAGAAAAGGAUUCCUCGUAGCUGUAUGUCCGUGGAAGCCGUUAGGCCGAGGUCUGGCUUCGAGGAAAUGAGAUGAGUCCCUUGCUGGCGCGUAUAGCGAGAUUGGUGUUGAAACCCAAUUCAGACUACAGUAACGGGUCUUCUUUUUCU